rnacentral:rRNA from 1 species
GAUGAACGCUGGCGGCGUGCCUAAUACAUGCAAGUCGAGCGAACAGACGAGGCGCUUGCUCCUCUGACGUUAGCGGCGGACGGGUGAGUAACACGUGGAUAACCUACCUAUAAGACUGGGAUAACUUCGGGAAACCGGAGCUAAUACCGGAUAAUAUCUUGAACCGCAUGGUUCAAUAGUGAAAGACGGUUUUGCUGUCACUUAUCGCUGGAUCCCGGCUGCAUUAGCUAGUUGGUAAGGUAACGGCUUACCAAGGCAACGAUGCGUAGCCGACCGGAGAGGGUGGUAGGCCACACUGGAGCUGAGACGCGGUCCAGACGCCUGCGGGAGGCAGCAGAAGGGAAUCUGACGCAAUGGGCGAAAGCCUGACGGAGCGACGCCGCGUGAGUGAUGAAGGUCUUCGGAUCGUAAAACUCUGUUAUUAGGGAAGAACAAAUGUGUAAGUAACUAUGCACGUCUUGACGGUACCGAAUCAGAAAGCCACGGCUAACUACGUG